UACAGGGGGGGCAAGCGUUGUUCGGAAUUACUGGGCGUAAAGGGUUCGUAGGUGGCUUACUAAGUCAGACGUGAAAUCCCUCAGCUUAACUGGGGAACUGCGUCUGAUACUGGAAAGCUUGAGUGCAGGAGAGGAACGCGGAAUUCCAGGUGUAGCGGUGAAAUGCGUAGAUAUCUGGAGGAACACCGGUGGCGAAGGCGGCGUUCUGGACUGUAACUGACACUGAUGAACGAAAGCCAGGGGAGCAAACGGGG
rnacentral:rRNA from 1 species